rnacentral:lncRNA from 1 species
UGUGUAGUCUGAAACCAAGAUGAUAAGCAAAGCAAUAAGAUUGUAAAUGACAUUAUUUGUGACUAUAAUUUUCGAAUUCAUGGGAUUUAAAAAAAAAUUGUGAAACUAGGAGGAGCGAAUUGAACUUAUAUUGAAAAUGAAUUAGGUGAGAAGACUAUGCAAUCGGAGUCGCUUUGGAAGUGAGAUAUGGUUUUUUUACAAGGCUACCUGUUAGUUUUAACUUGAGAAAAAAAAAGGAAAAUGAAUUUAAUUAUGAUGGCUUCUGGAUUCAUAUUGCACG